rnacentral:rRNA from 1 species
UACGGAGGGUGCAAGCGUUAUCCGGAUUCAUUGGGUUUAAAGGGAGCGUAGGUGGCCCAGUAAGUCAGUGGUGAAAUCUCCUCGCUUAACGAGGAAAUUGCCAUUGAUACUGCAGGGCUUGAGUACAGUUGCCGUUGGCGGAAUAUGACAUGUAGUGGUGAAAUACUUAGAUAUGUCAUAGAACACCGAUUGCGAAGGCAGCUGACGAAACUGUAACUGACACUGAGGCUCGAAAGUGUGGGGAUCAAACAGG